CUCCGCGCUUCCGCUUCCGGCGGCGCUGGUGGUGGCGCGCGACUCAGCGAUGGCAGCAGGUGGCGGCGAUCCGCGGGCUGGCGACGUAGAGGAGGACGCCUCACAGCUCAUCUUUCCUAAAGAGUUUGAAACAGCUGAGACACUUCUAAAUUCAGAAGUUCAUAUGCUUCUGGAACAUCGAAAGCAACAGAAUGAGAGUGCAGAGGAUGAACAGGAACUCUCAGAAGUCUUCAUGAAAACAUUAAACUACACAGCCCGUUUCAGUCGUUUCAAAAACAGAGAGACCAUUGCCAGUGUUCGUAGCUUGCUACUCCAGAAAAAGCUUCACAAGUUUGAGUUGGCCUGUUUGGCCAACCUUUGCCCAGAGACUGCUGAGGAGUCCAAGGCUCUAAUCCCAAGUGAAAACAGUCAGUGAACUAGAACCACGUGGAAUAUCAACAUGUCAGAAUGAAUUCUGAGGAAAAAUGGCAGAAGGAUAAACACAGUGUGGUGCCAUUUCUUAUAAAGUCUGAAACUGUGCUGCAUAUUACUUACGUAUCCAUAAAUGUGUACUUGGAGGGACGGUUUGAAGAUGAGGAGCUGCAGCAGAUUCUUGAUGAUAUCCAGACAAAGCGCAGCUUUCAGUAUUAAUCUCCAAACAUCGCUGCUGCUCGGAGAAACCGCGUCCGCAGGCGUAACACCACCUUCCCAGGCUCUGGCUGACUUGCAUGGAAAUGCUGUUGCAGAGGACAGUUGAGAAUUCCUUUGGAGAAAACAGCCCGGCUCGGCGUGGGGUUAGGUUGCUGUUUCAAAUAACUCAUAGGCCCAGGACAUGGAAUCCUGGAGCAGCCUUGUGCAGUGGCUGCCAGUGGCUUCCUGAACGUGCCUCUGGGAAGUGUGAGAUGGGGCCACACUACUGACUACCUCAUUCAUGGUUUUUGGCCUCCACAUCAUCUUUUUUCUUAAUAUUUCAUGUUUUAAUUUCAGUGCGUUUAUACUUUUUGAAACUAGACCAGAAUAUAGUAGACUUUAUAGAGAAAGACCAGUUUCACCUAGAUGCUAAAGGAAGAAUUAAACAACUGUUAUUGUUUGAAAUCCUUUUCUUUUUCUUUUCUUUUCUUUUAAAUGGAGAUAGGGUCUUAACUCUUACCCAGGCUGGAGGAGUGUAGUCAUACAGUCAUGGCUCACUGAAGCCUGGACCCCCCUGCCUCAGCUUCCCAAAUAACUGGGGCCAAAGGUGUGCACCACCACUCUCAGCUAGUUUCUAAAAUUCUUUAUAGAGAUGGGGUUUUACUGUGCUGCCUAGACUGGUCUUAAACUCCUGGGCUCAAGUGAUCUCCCUGCCGUGGCCUCCCAAACUGAUGAGAUUAGAGGCAUGAGCCACCACAUCUGGCCUGAAAUUCUGAAGGGAUGAGAGUGUCAACAGAGCACGUUGGCAUCAUUGUGGCUAACCUGGGAGGCGGAAGAAGCAUGCCAUGGGCAGUGUUGACGAGUAUUGUGGAGCUCAGAGUCCCUUGAGGUAGAUGGCUACUUUGCCUUUCUUCUUGAACUGUCUUGCAGAAUGUGGAUUUGGGGUGAGUGGUCUUGAAGGACUCAUUUAGUCACCCUCAAAUUAAGAUUUUUACUUCAUCUUUCUUGGUAAGAAACAAUGGUCAUGCCAAAGAGGUUUGCAACUAGGUGUGCACUGUUCACUGCAGCCUAUUUGUUGCAUGAACUGUGGUCGUUGUGUGCCCAAUGACAAGGCUAUUAAGAAGUUCAUCAUUUGAAACAUAGAGGCCGCAGCAGUCAGCGAUGGUUCUGAAGUGAGCAUCCUGGAAGCCUGCGUACUUCCCAGGCUGGAUGUGAAGCUACAUUACUGUGUGAGUUGUGCCACUCGCAGCACGGUAGUCAGGAAUCGAGCUUAUGAAGCCCACAAGGACCGAACACCUCCAUGCCAGUGUAGACCUCCAGGUGCUGCCCCGUGCCCCCACCAAAGCCCAUAUAAGGAGCGGAGUUGUUAAGGACUGAAGAAAAACUAUUCUCUGGAGAAAAAUAAAAUUGCAAUUAAAAAUUUUUUUUUUAAUUUCAUAGGCCAGGCGUGAAGUUCUGAACACUUUGAAGUCUGCAAUUAUGAGUGAUCCAGUCUAAGCCUCUGGCUUGCUACUUAGCAAUAGGUGCUUUAUGAUGGGCUGGUUCAGAAGGAGGGAGUCAGCCACUCUUGAGCCACUGCAGUGAAGUCACUUGAUCUCAGUCUGGGGGAAAACACUUUAAUAGGUAAACAUUCUAGCUUUGAUUUUUCUGAGGGGAAUACACGUGUUUUCAAUUUUGGGGUUUUUCUUUGGGGCACUUGCUUGACUCUGUAUGAACUUGUGAUCCAAAGAAAAAGGAGAAAGAACAAUGUUGGCUUUUAAAGUCAGGAUGGUUUUAUGUUUGCUAUGAAAUAAGGCAAAAAUAAAAAAUUCUUAUUUUUA